rnacentral:rRNA from 1 species
UACGAGGGGGGCGAGCGUUGUUCGGAAUUAUUGGGCGUAAAGGGUGCGUAGGCGGUUCCGCAAGUCCUGUGUGAAAUCUUCGGGCUCAACUCGAAGUCUGCACGGGAAACUGCGGGGCUUGAGUGUGGGAGAGGUGAGUGGAAUUCCCGGUGUAGCGGUGAAAUGCGUAGAGAUCCGGAAGAACACCGGUGGCGAAGGCGGCCUGCUGGGCAGUAGCUGACACUGAGGCGCGACAGCGUGGGGAGCAAACAGG